CAGUCGCCGCGGUAAUACGAAGGGUGCAAGCGUUAAUCGGAAUUACUGGGCGUAAAGCGUGCGUAGGCUGUGAGUUAAGUCUGCUGUGAAAUCCCCGGGCUCAACCUGGGAAUGGCAAUGGAUACUGGCAAGCUAGAGUGUGUCAGAGGAUGGUGGAAUUCCCGGUGUAGCGGUGAAAUGCGUAGAGAUCGGGAGGAACAUCAGUGGCGAAGGCGGCCAUCUGGGACAACACUGACGCUGAGGCACGAAAGCGUGGGGAGCAAACAGGAUUAGAUACCCCUGUAGUCCCUGUCUCUUAUAC
rnacentral:rRNA from 1 species